rnacentral:rRNA from 1 species
UGGGGAAUAUUGCACAAUGGGCGCAAGCCUGAUGCAGCAAUGCCGCGUGAGUGAAGACGGCCUUAGGGUUGUAAAACUCUUUCAGCUCCGACGAAGCGAAAGUGACGGUAGGAGCAGAAGAAGCACCGGCUAACUACGUGCCAGCAGCCGCGGUAAUACGUAGGGUGCAAGCGUUGUCCGGAAUUAUUGGGCGUAAAGAGCUCGUAGGCGGUCCGUUGCGUCUGCCGUGAAAACCCGGAGCUCAACUCCGGGCCUGCGGUGGAUACGGGCGGACUAGAGUCCGGUAGGGGAGACUGGAAUUCCUGGUGUAGCGGUGGAAUGCGCAGAUAUCAGGAGGAACACCGGUGGCGAAGGCGGGUCUCUGGGCCGGAACUGACGCUGAGGAGCGAAAGCGUGGGGAGCGAACAGGAUUAGAUACCCUGGUAGUCCACGGCCGUAAAACGGUGGGCGCUAGGUGUGGGGAUCGUUUCCACGAUCUCCGUGCCGUAGCUAACGCAUUAAGCGCCCC